AGCAGUUCUGGAAGAACAGGUGUCCUGUCAGCUUUCUUUGGUUCUCCAAAGUUUCUCCUUUGUCAGUAAUGAGACUUCAGUUCCUGCCCUUUGGCCCUGGUGCCCGCAGACUCAGAGGUGUUCUUUCCUUCAUACCCCAGCUGUGGACCAGUGAGGGGGUCUUUUGAGCUGAGGCUACAGCAAACAGAACUGCUUCCAGGGUCCUCUGACUGGGAAUUCAGAUUCCUGUGGUAUCCUUGGGGAUCCAGGCUUCCAAGUCUCAGCAAACAAGAGACUACUAUAGAUUGGCUUGAGAAGGACAACCAAGAUGGGGAAGAAACCUGAAACUAUGCAGUACAAGAUUGGAGAUUUUUAAUCUGCAGAAAAGAAGGCUUUUUGGAUAUAUGAUAACUGCUUUCAAAUAUUUGAAGUGACAUGAUGUGGAAGAUGAGUUGUUAGUUUUGUUUAGCUCAAAAAGUCAGAAAGAGAGCUAAAAAGAGGAAACCCCAAAGGGUUAUAGAUUUUAGUUCAACAAAUAGAAUACUUCUUAACAAUUUGAUCUGUUAAAAAAUUAACCAAGUUACUUUGAGUUAUGGUUAGCUUCCUAGAAUUUGAUCUCCUUAAGUGAAAACUUGAUUAUUACUUGCUAUGAAUGUUGAAGAGAGGUAUAGUUGAACCAGAUAAACCAUGAAAUCUCUCCCAGAUCUAAAAAUUUACAAUGAAAUCAGGUCCAUUUGUUGUUGUUGUUGUUGUUUUUAAUUUUCCCAGAACCAGAUGUACUGAAUAACAAAUUUUCAGAGUUGAAAAAAAAAAAACAAAAUUGCCAUCUAGGGCAACCCAUAC
rnacentral:lncRNA from 1 species